UUUGGGCGUCAAAAGAGGUUCAGCGGACAAUUUCUUCUCUGGAAUUGGAGCGUCUGUGCUGACUAAUUGAGAAGAAGGAACUUCCUCAUCCUUAUCAGCUGGCUGUUUCAUUGAAGUCCUUGCAAGAACAUAUACUGCAUGUUACAGGAUUGUUAAGUUGGAGAACAUGUAACACCAUUAUCUGAAAUAAUGGAAGCUGAUGCUCGUUUCUAAACAAUUUUGAGCAAUUUUUUUUUUCAUCAAAACAUCCAACUAAAGAUAACUUUCUUCGAUGACAAUAAUACUUUGCACAUAUCAACUCUUAGGCUGAUAAAUGUCGAAGAUGUUGAAAGCUGAUAAGUGUUGAAAGCUGCUUGAAGUUAAACAGAAAUAAUAAAUUAGGAAGAUUUAUAUGUUUGUUUCCUCACCCUGCAGACAUCUUGUGUUCUAACUAUAUAACAAAGUCUGGCUCAAAGGAAUAAUGGUGCUCUUCUAGUGUGAAAACCACUUGCAUGCAUAAUACAUUCACACAUACUCAUACAACAAAGCUAGUCUUGAAAUAGUUAUCACUAUGUAAUUGGCAACUUUAGAUCAUCCAAUAUGAGGAUAAACAUCCAUUAAGCUCUUCACACAAGUUUUUAAAAGGUCACAGGAGUGGUUUGCCACUGAUACUGCAUAAGACAAGC
rnacentral:lncRNA from 1 species